rnacentral:rRNA from 1 species
CCGCAUACGUCCUGAGGGAGAAAGCGGGGGAUCGCAAGACCUCGCGCGAUUGGAGUGGCCGAUGUCAGAUUAGCUAGUUGGUGGGGUAAAGGCCUACCAAGGCAACGAUCUGUAGCUGGUCUGAGAGGAUGAUCAGCCACACUGGGACUGAGACACGGCCCAGACUCCUACGGGAGGCAGCAGUGGGGAAUUUUGGACAAUGGGGGCAACCCUGAUCCAGCCAUUCCGCGUGAGUGAAGAAGGCCUUCGGGUUGUAAAGCUCUUUCGGCAGGAACGAAACGCGAGCUCUAACAUAGCUCGCUAAUGACGGUACCUGAAGAAGAAGC